rnacentral:rRNA from 1 species
GGAAAGGCGCGCGAUACAGGGUGACAGCCCCGUACACAAAAAUGCACAUGCUGUGAGCUCGAUGAGUAGGGCGGGACACGUGGUAUCCUGUCUGAAUAUGGGGGGACCAUCCUCCAAGGCUAAAUACUCCUGACUGACCGAUAGUGAACCAGUACCGUGAGGGAAAGGCGAAAAGAACCCCGGCGAGGGGAGUGAAAAAGAACCUGAAACCGUGUACGUACAAGCAGUGGGAGCACGCUUAGGCGUGUGACUGCGUACCUUUUGUAUAAUGGGUCAGCGACUUAUAUUCUGUAGCAAGGUUAACCGAAUAGGGGAGCCGAAGGGAAACCGAGUCUUAACUGGGCGUUAAGUUGCAGGGUAUAGACCCGAAACCCGGUGAUCUAGCCAUGGGCAGGUUGAAGGUUGGGUAACACUAACUGGAGGACCGAACCGACUAAUGUUGAAAAAUUAGCGGAUGACUUGUGGCUGGGGGUGAAAGGCCAAUCAAACCGGGAGAUAGCUGGUUCUCCCCGAAAGCUAUUUAGGUAGCGCCUCGUGAAUUCAUCUCCGGGGGUAGAGCACUGUUUCGGCAAGGGGGUCAUCCCGACUUACCAACCCGAUGCAAACUGCGAAUACCGGAGAAUGUUAUCACGGGAGACACACGGCGGGUGCUAACGUCCGUCGUGAAGAGGGAAACAACCCAGACCGCCAGCUAAGGUCCCAAAGUCAUGGUUAAGUGGGAAACGAUGUGGGAAGGCCCAGACAGCCAGGAUGUUGGCUUAGAAGCAGCCAUCAUUUAAAGAAAGCGUAAUAGCUCACUGGUCGAGUCGGCCUGCGCGGAAGAUGUAACGGGGCUAAACCAUGCACCGAAGCUGCGGCAGCGACGCUUAUGCGUUGUUGGGUA